GACAUAGGUGGCGAACGUUAUCCGGAUUUACUGGGCGUAAAGGGCGCGUAGGCGGCGCGGUAAGUCACUUGUGAAAUCUCUGAGCUUAACUCAGAACGGCCAAGUGAUACUGCAGUGCUAGAGUGUGGAAGGGGCAAUCGGAAUUCCGGGUGUAGCGGUGGAAUGCGUAGAUAUUGGGAAGAACACCGGUGGCGAAGGCGGCCAUCUGGACCGGCACUGACGCUGAGGCGCGAAAGCCAGGGGAGCGAAUGGG
rnacentral:rRNA from 1 species